CCCUCAGUGACACUGGCAGCAGGCAGGUGAAAGCUUUAAGGUUUCAUUUAAAACACUUUCAAGCAAAGGCGUGGUUCCAGUCAUCUUGUGCGCAUGCGCAGUGAAGGGUCAAGUUCUCUCUGCUUUUAUGUCGGUACCGCGUCUCCCGACCUGUGUUUGCUAGGAAACAGCUUCCUGUCGCCUCUAGAGUUGCCUUAUUUAGCACUGUGCAAGAUGUAAACAGGAAUUUACCCUUGCUUUGUUUAAUUAGUCUUUUCCCCAGCACAAAGGCCUGCAGGAGGGAUUGAUUCACCAUCUUUUUUCUUCUCCUUUCUAGAGGGCACACUGUCAGUUCCACUGACACAGAUGGCCUUAAGUACCAGGGAAACCGAGAUGUCUUCUCAAAGCUCCAUUUAUUCCUUUUGUUCUCUCACCUUAAGAACUGGACAGCUAAACUUGAUCAUGUUUGCUGACGCUCUUUUGGACAGAAGAAAGGUUGUGGAUGUUACAGAAGUGACAUCCAUUCCUGCUAGCUAAAAAUCACCUGCCACCUCAACUGGAUAUAUCUGUCUGUUUCCUGCCCUCUCUCCAGAUCCUUGCUACUGGGGCCUUGCUUUUCUUCCCCAGAAGGAGAUGGGAGAUUUGCCACAACUGCAGUGACAGCAGUAGGAGAGCAGACACAGAUUAGGCAAGGUGUUGGAGGAUUUUCUGCAUGCUCUGAAGCAUGUCAUAAAUUGCAAUAAAUUCAUCUGUUUAUGGAUUCUGAACUUGACCAACUUCCAUGAGUACAAGGUAAACUGAAACGUAUGUUCCACUAUGUGCCUCAAUACAGCAGUCAGAGGAGGAAGAACAUCCAUACUCCACCUCUGGGAUGGCAAGAUACACUUCAGAAUGUGGAAGGAAAAAAAACAGAGAGACUGGAGCUCUAAGCCUCAUAUUGUAAACAUCACCCAGAUGAUGCUGUGGCAAGGAAUCAAUUUGAAGUCAGCUCCAUUAACAGUAAUCGUUGUUCAGACUGCAGCAGAUCCACACCUUGUACUUCAGGGCCUAAAACUACUUUUAUAAAAAAUAAAAAAAUAAAAAAAUUGGUUGGCAUGCCAGUUCAUCUCCCUCACAGGGAUGCUGUGUUUAAGGGGGCUCAGAUACAUCUGAUGUAUCACAGCCCAGCUACAGGACUGCUGGCCUGUGUCAGGAAUAUCCCAAGGAAUAGUUGUGCAUAUUUAUGGGAAUUUAAGAGUGCUUGUCAUCAAAAUAAACUUCAGGAAAUUGUUGGCUGUUAUCACUGGCAUUGCAGACAGGAACCGUGCCUAGAAAUAGAGAUUGGCAUAGCAACAUUGCUGACUGUUUUGUAGAGAAGGCGGCUUAUUUUUCCAGGCCACAACAUUUAAUAAACAUUUUCUGUUUAUUGAAACUGCAGAACCUCAUUAGAUCAAACUGAAUGCUAAUCUGCUUGAGUCACCAUCACAGACUUUUGUCUCCAGUGUAUACACAUCACGAGUCUCUGUGGUUUCGUUAUUUUGUCCUGUGACAUUUGUUCCUUUGUGUUUGUCCACAGAAAAUAGAUCAUGGAAUGCAUUGAAACAGCCACGCAAAUCCUCCAGACGAUGAUUUAUUUUGCGAGAUCCUGUUUUAUCUCAUCGUUAGGGCCUUGCGUCAGACCUUGGACUCACACUCCACACGAACGGACUGCAAUUACAGAGAAGCUUAGAAGCAAAUAUCCUAAACACUACGGAAACACCACACUGUAAAUAAAACUCUUGGCUUGAAGGAGAGCUUUUAAA